rnacentral:rRNA from 1 species
GACGAACGCUGGCGGCAUGCCUAACACAUGCAAGUCGAACGAGACCUUCGGGUCUAGUGGCGCACGGGUGCGUAACGCGUGGGAAUCUGCCCUUGGGUACGGAAUAACAGCGAGAAAUUGCUGCUAAUACCGUAUAAUGACGUAAGUCCAAAGAUUUAUCGCCCAGGGAUGAGCCCGCGUAGGAUUAGCUUGUUGGUGAGGUAAAAGCUCACCAAGGCGACGAUCCUUAGCNGGUCUGAGAGGAUGAUCAGCCACACUGGGACUGAGACACGGCCCAGACUCCUACGGGAGGCAGCAGUGGGGAAUAUUGGACAAUGGGCGAAAGCCUGAUCCAGCAAUGCCGCGUGAGUGAUGAAGGCCUUAGGGUUGUAAAGCUCUUUUGCCCGGGAUGAUAAUGACAGUACCGGAGAAUAAGCUCCGGCUAACUCCGUGCCAGCAGCCGCCGUAAG